AACGGAUGCCACAGAGCCCUGAGGGCCGCUAGAUUUACAGCAUCUACAGCUGAAGAGGAGCAGAAGCCUUUGCGGCAUUGCGUUAUGGUGUGUCUCUAUUGAUCUGAACAUCAUCAUUUGGAGAUAGGAGGAGAUUCCUCAUGAGAAGUGACUGUCUAAUGGCGUGCAAAGGCUAUUCCUGCCCUCUGUCCUUCUGCAAGACCCCUGACUGCUGGGCCUGGGCCCAUCUGAGUGGCACUGACAUGUCUGGAACAGCCAGUGAAACGGUUUGUCAAGAUAAGAUUUCAGUCAUGAACCAGCCAUGGCAUGGGGCAAUCCGCACUGAUUUGGAACUUAGAGCGAACCCAGCGGGACAGGUGAGCUCCAGCUGACACAGGCUGUUUCAAACUGUCACGGAGGGCGCCAAAGCCAGCGUCCUGCAGUUCCUGCAGUGCCUUACCAGAAAUUUUAACUAGUUGAAAGGAACCCCAGAGGCUCUCAACUCUCAUAGCAAGUAUUUGGAGGUCGCUCAGCUGUUGGGUACCAACCUCCUCACUAGGCUGUCAUCCACAGACUAAGAGCAUCAGCAGCUAUGGGAGCUUGGCUGAAGCCCAAUCCCCCUUUCUCAAAGCAGGAUGCAGCCGCUGCAUUCCGACAAGUUCCCUGAGUGACACGAGGUCAAUGGAAGCCCCACUGGCCAGCUCUUGCUAGCUGGCUCUGAACAGCUUGGGUAGAAAAUGCCACUAAAGUCCCAUGUGUUCAAGGGUCUCCAGUUGGUGGCACUAUUAACAAAUAAUUGGGAUCACGAGGGCACCGGCCUCAUCAGUUCAUGGCUGAAUGGGCUUUUAGGAAGUGGGGUACAAUCAGAGGGUGUACGUCACGAGGUCUCCCUCUCUUAAAAUUCCGUAACCUUGUCUGGUGAUGUGUGUGUGUGCACAUGCCACAGUGCCUAUGCUGUCCAGACAACUUUGACUCUCCCCCAACCCGUGAACUGCAGCGAUGGAAUCAGGGAGUCAGGAGUUAGGGGAAACGGUGGGGGUGUGGGGCAUAGCCAAAGGAAGGCAAGCACUGAGGAAGGCUGGGUGUAGCUCAACUCUAAACAGUGCAAGGAUGGUCUGUCGUCCUGGGAGAUUUCUACAUCUUGUAUCCUCAACACUCCUGGAAGUCCAAGAGAACCCAUGGUAAGAUGCGAACGUUAGCUCUCACUUCUCUUGACACUGAGAUGCUUAAUUCACAAGAGGCCUGGAAAGUCAGACCUAAAAAGUUAUUGCUGCCCCCAGACUCUACCAUGGAGAGCAGCCGGGUGUGUGGUUGCAAGCAGUGUACAGCCCAGCGUGCUAAAACACACCUAGGAAUCAAGGCUGUGCGACGGAAAAAUUGAACGGGAAAACUAGGCAACUCUCCAGCUGUGUUCUCAGAAUCCUUAAAUUUCUGGAAGGUGGGGGAUCCUAGUCUAUCCUCCCUUCAUCCAAGGAGGUCCCUUGAGCCUUCAGUGGCAGUCACAGCGUUGUACAAAGGUCACAUCAAGUUCUAUAGCACCCUGGGACCCACCUCUGAGUUCUCUCUCCCAGAUAGCCGACAAAGUACUUUUGCCUCACAAACAGGUACAUCAGUCCAGCGAAGGCGGCAGGGACUAAAGUGGAGAAAUGAAGGAAAACACAUGCAUCAGUCUCACGGUCGACCAAACAGUUGUUCACACAACAGUAACAGUGGUUAAGCCAUUUGUGUCUGACCACAAAAUCCAGCAGAGACCUUGGGUUCUGUAAGUGGAGGCUAGCACACUGUCUUGGUUCGGGUUUCUGUUGCUGUACUAAAACAUUAUAACCAAAAGCAACUUGGAAAAGACAGGGUUUUCUUUCGCCUUACACUCCCACAUCGCACUCCAUCAUCAGAGGAAGUCGGGGCAGAAACUCAAAGCAGGGACCUUGAGGCAGGAGCUGAUGGUGGCCACGGAGGAACAGUACGUCCUGGCUUGCUCCUCAUGGCUUGCUCAGCCCAGGACCACCAGCCCAGAGAUGUCACCAGUCGUGUGGGAGGGGCACUCUGACACCAAUCAUUAGGAGAGACACUCUCCACAGAAGUGCCUUCAGGCCAGUCUUACGGAGCCAUUUUCUCAAAUUAGGAUUCCCUCUUUCCAGAUACACCUAGGUUUGUGCCACAUUGGCAAAAACAGGCAGCAUAAAUACAGUUUAAAAAACGUGCGUGUCACAGGACUGGGAGGAAGCAGAGCCUACAGAAUGGAUUGCCUCAGCAGUUCUGUGGCAUCCUACAUGUGCUGGCUUAGGUACCAUCAGCAGUGAAUCCUUCAACAUGUCUCUCUCUGGAUACAAGAAGUUGAACUCCAGCAGCCUGGGGGGCUUGCAUGGGGCCUCAGCUGGGAAGGAACGCAGGGAAGGUUCACACCUUGAACCAGAGCCCCAGUUUUGAGCCUGGUUUUCUUGAGAUGGUACUCUAUGUUCCUGGGGUUUCUGGUACACAGAGCACACUUUCCGGGCUCUUGGGAAGGAGAUCUCUUUGCAUUCCAACCUCUGGGUAAAUAAAUAGCUGCAGACAACAUCCCAGUCACCCUCAUAAAAUCCUAAAUUUAGUGUUGGGAGCUGAAAAUGCCAGUACCCUUAUGAGUAGGGUGAUCUAGAGUAGGUGUUUAACUGGUCAUGUGUGUGAACAGCGACCUGGCAUAGCUCUCCUACUAUGUGUUAACAAAGACUGGUCACAACUGUCCCUCUAUGUGAGGAUAAAAGCCUGUCAUAGCUCUCCAACUACAUGUAGAUAAAGGCUGGUUACAGCUCUCCUACUAUGUGUAGAUAAAGGCUUGUCACAGCUCUCCUACUAUGUGUGAAUAAAGGCUGGCCACAGCUCCCCUACUAUGUAUAAACAAAGGCUAGUCUCCCACUAUGUGUGGGAAAAGGUUGGUCACAACUCUCCUACUAUGUGAGGAUGAAAGCCUGUCACAGCUCUCCUACUAUGUGUGUAGAAAGUCUGAUCAGAGUUCUUUUAUUAUGUUUAGAUAAAGGCUGGGCACAGUUCUUCUCCUACUAUGUGUGGGCAAAGGCUGGUUGCAACUCUCCUACUAUGUGAGGAGGCUGGUUACAGCCUUUCUGUCUUUUAAGAAAGAGUGCUGGAGUAAAAUAGAACUAUGUGAGCAAAACCACCUUGAAAGCUUCCUGCCUUACGCAAACACCAAAGUAGCUUCCAUGAGUGAGAGCGUCACACAGGCCAGGCACCUUUGGCUCCAAAGCCACCUGCUGACUGGAACAGCUUUCCAGUCUCUGAUUUGCAAGAGAAGUCUAAGCAAAGAACAAAGGUCCAUGAGAGCAACUGUCUUUCCCAGGUCACCUCUGUACUUGGCAUAGGCCUGGAACAUGUAGGCUUUCAAUAAUACUUAUCAAAUAAAUGUUUGGUGAAGUCCACAAGUAUCACAAAGGUGGCUCUGAUUUCUAGAUCUUUCUGAUUUGAUUUCAAAACCUUAUUAUCACUGCCACCAGCAGUAUCAAUAACACUUAUGGAGUGCCCAUUGUUAACUUGAACCAUAUGGACGAAACACUUUUUAUUUAACUUUUUAUUUUACGUGUACCAGUGUUUUGUCUGUCUGUGCACUGUGUGCACAGGGGCCAGAAGAGGGAGCCAGAUUGCCCAGGAACUGAUGUUACAGAUGGUUGUGAACUGCCAUAUGGAUGCUGGGACUUGAACCUGGAUCCUCUGAAAGAGCAGCCAGUGCUCUAACCACUGAACAAUCUUUGCAUCUUGCAUCUUGAUAGAAUACAAAUUUUCUCUCUUGUGGUAGGCAUUGUUCCCUUUCAGAAUUUAGAAUUGCCUAAGAGUUGAGCCUCUGGGAGGUCAUUUUGAUGAUAUUAAUAGAUGUGGGAGGAUCCAUCUUAAUUUUAGGCAGAACCAUUCC
ensembl:antisense